CAGCAGCCGCGGUAACACGUCGCUCCGCGAGUGGUACCCGCGAAUAUUGGGCCUAAAGCGUCCGUAGCCGGUCCGGUAAGUCCUCGGUUAAAUCGGCGGGCUUAACCCGUCGGCUGCCGGGGAUACUGCCGGGCUCGGGACCGGGAGAGGCCGAGGGUAUUCCCGGGGUAGGGGUAAAAUCCUGUAAUCCCGGGAGGACCACCUGUGGCGAAGGCGCUCGGCCAGAACGGGUCCGACGGUGAGGGACGAAAGCUGGGGGAUCAAACCGGAUUAGAGACCCGGGUAGUCCCAGCUGUCAACCAUGCGGACUAGGUGUCGCGCGAGCUACGAGCUCGCGCGGUGCCGGAGGGAAGCCGUUAAGUCCGCCGCCUGGGGAGUACGGCCGCAAGGCUGAAACUUAAAGGAAUUGGCGGG
rnacentral:rRNA from 1 species